GUCGUGGUCACCGGUGGCAGCUCGGGAGCUCGGCCGAGUCGGUCUGGACUGACCGCCUCCCUCCGCGCGGCCUUGGGGACAGGCGCCCACCGCUGGGGCCUCCCCUCCGUGCAGGGAGGCGCUCACGCUUCGCCAGGCCGAGACCUGAAUCCAACCCCACACCCGCUCUCCCGGAGCGGUGCGGGGUACGUUCCCCGCGGGCCUGCGCUGCCUGCCCGUACCGAAACCAGGCGAGACCCCGGGGCCUGGCUACAGGGGUUCAUCCCCAGCCAGGCCCACAGCCAAGCGGAGGCGUCUUCUGUUUUCGUAUUCCCUAUUAGAAGUUUGACAACAGGAGGCAUUCAAUAAAUGCACAUCAACGAGGGAAAGCAUGUAACAAUAGAAAACACACAAGCAUUAGCAGCACGCGGCUAAAGAGCGAGGAGGAAGGGAGGAAUGUACAGGUGCUGCUGUGUCCCGAAUUAAGCAGGGCGGUUUGGAGAAGACUUCACAAAUGGAGCCAGUUAAUGAAGCAAGCGGAAGGAAUAUCGUUUGGCGAGGAUAAGAUGAAUGGAGACCCUCUCGGGGAAGGAGGAGUCUCCCCCAAACAUCCUUGAGCUCAGUCUGUCUUGAAAAACCAGUUGAUAUCCUGAACAGAAUGGGUCUGGAGAAUGAGGCCCCCACUUCCGGGGCCAGUUCGAGGACUAUCUAGCUGUGUGAUCUUGGGGAAGUCUCUUGGUCUCAGAUGGUGGUUGAACUAAUGACCUUUUAUGACACCCCCAGUUCUAUAAAUCAUUGAGUCUUCCUACUCCUAACUCCUUGCCUUCUCUAAUGCCUGAAUCGGAAACAAGAGAAAAAGACAAGAAGUAGGAGAUGAGAAAAAUAAGGCAAUACUUUUUUUUUUUUUUUUUUUAGUUUAGGAGCGGAAGUUUAUAGGCAAAAGAAAAGGGAGAACAGCUGUCUCUCUUGCGAGAGAGAGGAGUGACCGAAUGGGACUUCUCAGAAAGCAAUACUUUUAACCUUCUGCUCAAGUAAAAGUGAGAGGGUACAAAAGCAGGAAGGAGUUCCACAUGACUAGUUAUUCCAGCCCACAGUGUUGAAUUUCCAUAGCACAGAAAGUCCAAUGAUAACAAAGCGUCCUGGAAUCUUUUCUAAGUACCAUGCCUCUGUGCUGUCCAGACACCUCAACAUAAAGGUCGAGGGAGUUUUUCCAAGAUGGUCUGAACCUUCCUGACACCGUCUCUCCUGGCCUGACGCACAUCGGCUCGUCCCUCGGGGUCCACUGAAUCCAGGGCCAGCAGCUCUUUGGUCAAAUACUCUUCGAUCAUCAGGUGUGAAGCUGAACAGAUUCAGACGGAGCUGAGAGGCAAGCAUGACUCAGGGUGCAGAUAGGACACGGGAGUUUGUGCCCAGGAACAACGCUGGCACACACCACAGGAUGAUGUGCAGACAGGAAAAUGAGAGGACUUACUGCUUAGGAAUCCUACUAGGAAUGCCUCAAAUCUCAGCUAAGAACCAGAUUAAGAACUAUUUUUUAGCUAUUAAUGCACAGAAUCCAUUGACAUAUCCCUGAGAUGUUUGGCUUCAGGAUUAAAAUGCUGUCUUAAAGCAGCUGCCUUCCUGACUCCUUAUUUCUUUUGAAACUGUGGUGCACGGUGAGGGCAGGCAUGGGGUCUCAUUUUCCUGUCAACAUAGCUCCACAAGCGGUUAAGAUUUAUCCAUAAGCAUUGAACUGAACAAAAUAAUGCACAGCUAUCUCUGUGCUUCUGAAUAGAAAGCCCAGUGUGAAUAAGGAGCAUGGAAAUUAGGCGCCAGAAGGCAGGCCAGGCUUCCGGUCCCAGCUCUGCUCCCUCCACCUGUGUGCAUCUGGAGCAGGCAGGCUGCAGUGUGCCCUUCCGAGCCGUUCCUUAGCUACAAAAAGAAGCCACAUGAUUCCUGCCCUGCCCCACUGAAGAACAGCCCUAUGAGAUGCUGGGGGAUGAUGUGGGGCCAUCACCCUGUCUUUG
rnacentral:lncRNA from 10 species